rnacentral:rRNA from 1 species
CGGGUGAGUAACACGUAAAUAAUCUGCCCUCCAGUUGGGGACAACUAUUCUAACGGAUAGCUAAUACCGAAUAUUGUAAUACUUCGCAUGUUGUUAUUACGAAAGGCUUCGGCCGCUGGAGGAUGAAUUUGCGGUGCAUUAGUUUGUUGGUGAGGUAACGGCUCACCAAGACUUCGAUGCAUAGCCGGCCUGAGAGGGUGAACGGCCACAUUGGGACUGAGAUACGGCCCAGACUCC